CGCUCUUUAUUUUUUUCUCUCUUUCUUUUUGCUCCGUGUGUCGCGCGCGCCCGCUCGCGGUGAGGCGCGUGUCUGCGCUAUUCUCCGACAUGACGACCUCUUGUACAAAACUAAAGUAACGAGCCAAUUUUGUAAAAUGUAAGGAGUAGAAAGUACCGAUAUUCAUGUUAAAAUGUAAGGAGUAAAA